rnacentral:rRNA from 1 species
GACGAACGCUGGCGGCGUGCCUAAUACAUGCAAGUAGAACGCUGAAGAGAGGAGCUUGCUCUUCUUGGAUGAGUUGCGCACGGGUGAGUAACGCGUAGGUAACCUGCCUUGUAGCGGGGGAUAACUAUUGGAAACGAUAGCUAAUACCGCAUAACAAUGGAUGACACAUGUCAUUUAUUUGAAAGGGGCAAUUGCUCCACUACAAGAUGGACCUGCGUUGUAUUAGCUAGUAGGUGAGGUAAUGGCUCACCUAGGCGACGAUACAUAGCCGACCUGAGAGGGUGAUCGGCCACACUGGGACUGAGACACGGCCCAGACUCCUACGGGAGGCAGCAGUAGGGAAUCUUAGGAAAUGGGGGCAACCCUGACCGAGCAACGCCGCGUGAGUGAAGAAGGUUUUCGGAUCGUAAAGCUCUGUUGUAAGUCAAGAACGGGUGUGAGAGUGGAAAGUUCACACUGUGACGGUAGCUUACCAGAAAGGGACGGCUAACUACGUG